GACGAACGCUGGCGGCGUGCCUAAUACAUGCAAGUUGAGCGCUGAAGGUUGGUACUUGUACCAACUGGAUGAGCAGCGAACGGGUGAGUAACGCGUGGGGAAUCUGCCUUUGAGCGGGGGACAACAUUUGGAAACGAAUGCUAAUACCGCAUAAAAACUUUAAACACAAGUUUUAAGUUUGAAAGAUGCAAUUGCAUCACUCAAAGAUGAUCCCGCGUUGUAUUAGCUAGUUGGUGAGGUAAAGGCUCACCAAGGCGAUGAUACAUAGCCGACCUGAGAGGGUGAUCGGCCACAUUGGGACUGAGACACGGCCCAAACUCCUACGGGAGGCAGCAGUAGGGAAUCUUCGUCAAUGGACGAAAGUCUGACCGAGCAACGCCGCGUGAGUGAAGAAGGUUUUCGGAUCGUAAAACUCUGUUGGUAGAGAAGAACGUUGGUGAGAGUGGAAAGCUCAUCAAGUGACGGUAACUACCCAGAAAGGGACGGCUAACUACGU
rnacentral:rRNA from 1 species